rnacentral:rRNA from 1 species
GACGAACGCUGGCGGCGUGCCUAAUACAUGCAAGUUGAGCGCUGAAGGUUGGUACUUGUACCAACUGGAUGAGCAGCGAACGGGUGAGUAACGCGUGGGGAAUCUGCCUUUGAGCGGGGGACAACAUUUGGAAACGAAUGCUAAUACCGCAUAAAAACUUUAAACACAAGUUUUAAGUUUGAAAGAUGCAAUUGCAUCACUCAAAGAUGAUCCCGCGUUGUAUUAGCUAGUUGGUGAGGUAAAGGCUCACCAAGGCGAUGAUACAUAGCCGACCUGAGAGGGUGAUCGGCCACAUUGGGACUGAGACACGGCCCAAACUCCUACGGGAGGCAGCAGUAGGGAAUCUUCGGCAAUGGACGAAAGUCUGACCGAGCAACGCCGCGUGAGUGAAGAAGGUUUUCGGAUCGUAAAACUCUGUUGGUAGAGAAGAACGUUGGUGAGAGUGGAAAGCUCAUCAAGUGACGGUAACUACCCAGAAAGGGACGGCUAACUACGG